rnacentral:lncRNA from 1 species
CUCUUCCGAUCUUCUUACUCGAACUUUACAUCGGAGAUUUGAAUAACUUCUGUAUGCGUAUAAGUUCGCGAAACAGUCUAUAUUCGCAACCUGUUUGAUCUGUAUUAAUUAUAAAAUCAGGAUUGUAGUCUGGCGAAAUUGCUUGAAUCAAUCGUUGAAAAUGUGUUGCUGAUUCUAUAAUAGCUUCUGGUGGUGUCAUCUCUUUUUUUCAAAAGGUACCGGAUGACUUUGCGAUUCGAAUUUUAUGCUCACAUAAAAACAAAGUUAACCAUGAGCUCGAUGCUACAGAAUGGAAAACAUUUUUGUGUUCUUUGCUGUCUUCUUGAUUGUCAUUAUAUUGAGCAGCUGCAACCAUGGCCCAUUGCUGAAGUAUGUCAUGUUACAAGCUGUUUAUUUGCUCUUGCUUCUACAAAACGAUCCUGCACAUUUUAUUGACUGCAGUUUGUCCCUGUAAUUUCCACCUGACAGAACAUCUCUUUUGUAUCGUGUAAUAUCACAAUCAUAAUAGUAAAAAAUUUUUAUAUCGUUGUUGUAGUGUACGAAAGGUCCAAAAUGGAUGUUGAAUUGCUGCCAUGACGAUCUUCAGUUUUUAAUAUCAAAUGGUACAGAUUCGUAUGCAGUAGCUUUCUGUGGUGGAUUGUAUUCUUCAUCGAGUAUAGUGUGACUUGUAUGAUGCAUGCUUUCACAUGCAUUAUCAUCUUUUCCUUCUGCU